GAUGAACGCUAACGGCAGGCUUAAUACAUGCAAGUCGUGGGGCAGCAGGGUUGUAGCAAUACAAUCGCUGGCGACCGGCAAACGGGUGCGUAACACGUACGCAACCUUCCCGUUACUGUGGCAUAGCCCAGGGAAACUUGGAUUAAUACCACAUAUUAUAUUGAGGGGGCAUCCCUUUGAUAUCAAAGCUUCGGCGGUAACGGCUGGGCGUGCGGUUGAUUAGGUAGUUGGCGGGGUAACGGCCCACCAAGCCUACGAUCAAUAGCUGAUGUGAGAGCAUGAUCAGCCACACGGGCACUGAGACACGGGCCCGACUCCUACGGGAGGCAGCAGUAAGGAAUAUUGGGCAAUGGACGAAAGUCUGUCCCAGCCAUGCCGCGUGAAGGAUUAAGGUCCUCUGGAUUGUAAACUUCUUUUCUCUGGGGCGAAAACCAGCUAUUCUUAGCUAUUUGACAGUACCAGAGGAAUAAGCACCGGCUAACUCCGUGCCAGCCGCCGCAGUAACAC
rnacentral:rRNA from 1 species